AGGGAUGUGGCUCAUUGGUAGAGCUCAUGCUUAGCAUUCAUGAGGUCCUGGGUUCAAUCCCCAGUACCUCCA
rnacentral:tRNA from 1 species